UGGCCUACGGGGGGCAGCAGUGGGGAAUAUUGGACAAUGGGCGCAAGCCUGAUCCAGCCAUGCCGCGUGAGUGAUGAAGGCCCUAGGGUUGUAAAGCUCUUUUGUGCGGGAAGAUAAUGACGGUACCGCAAGAAUAAGCCCCGGCUAACUUCGUGCCAGCAGCCGCGGUAAUACGAAGGGGGCUAGCGUUGCUCGGAAUCACUGGGCGUAAAGGGUGCGUAGGCGGGUCUUUAAGUCAGGGGUGAAAUCCUGGAGCUCAACUCCAGAACUGCCUUUGAUACUGAAGAUCUUGAGUUCGGGAGAGGUGAGUGGAACUGCGAGUGUAGAGGUGAAAUUCGUAGAUAUUCGCAAGAACACCAGUGGCGAAGGCGGCUCACUGGCCCGAUACUGACGCUGAGGCACGAAAGCGUGGGGAGCAAACAGGAUUAGAUACCCCGGUAGUCUU
rnacentral:rRNA from 1 species